UGCCAGCCGCCGCGGUAAUACAUAGGGGUCAAGCGUUGUCCGGAUUUAUUGGGCGUAAAGCGAGCGUAGGCGGAUUUGUAAGUUGGAGGUGAAAUCCCAGAGCUUAACUCUGGAACUGCCUUCAAAACUACAUUUCUUAAGUUUGGUAGAGGAGAGUGGAAUUCCUAGUGUAGAGGUGAAAUUCGUAGAUAUUAGGAGGAACACCAGUGGCGAAGGCGACUCUCUGGGCCAAUACUGACGCUGAGGUUCGAAAGCGUGGGUAGCGAACAGGAUUAGAUA
rnacentral:rRNA from 1 species